rnacentral:lncRNA from 1 species
AAGGAUAUCCUUAUUGAUGAUGGUGUACCUGUAAUCUUGUUGAUUACAGAGAAGGAAGGAGGCAUUAUUGCCUACCACUAAUAGGAUUGGAUUUCCUAUUUGGUGAAGAGAUCUGAUAUCCUUAUGGCUAUAUAAGGAGGGGUUCAGCUCUAGGUUUUGUAUCGCAGAGACAAAGACCAAAGUGUGUUCCAUUCUCGGUUAGAGGGUGAGAGAGGGCGGAGAGGGGAGAGAUAGGUAGAGAAAAGAGAGUCUUUGUUUUCUUAUACUUUCUGGUGUACCCAUUAUUCAUAUCGUGGAGAGUGUUUUCUGCCGGUGGACGUAGGCAAAAGUUUUGCUGAACCACCUUAUAUCUGUGUUCUUUGUGUCUUAUCUUUGUGGUUGUUUCUCUUGGUUUGCUGUGUUCUUUUGGGGUUCCUUGACAUACAUAAUUGGCCGAUAUCACAACAGAACUGUUAUUAGUAUUAAUAUUAUUAUCAGUACCUUUUCAUUGCUACAAGGAUGAUAAAGCCAUGGCCAAACAUCAUUGUGUUGGCCUUGCCGCUUGUGGAAAACUUUACCCACGAGAUGUACACGUAGUAUAAUAAUGUGCAUAUCCUUUUAGAAAAUAGGUGUACACCUCUUGAACGAGGCAUCUGCCAUGAAUGAGGCAUACACCAUGAAUACGGGAAAAUCAUUUGGGGAAAUUUGUGCAGCAGAGAGAUGCUAAUAAAAGGACUGAAUGUCUGGUGGGGAUCUUUCCAAGUUUUUGUAUUUAAAAUUUGAACUCACUCUGCAGUUUUAACGGCCAUGAAUUCAGUUUUAUGGGCAUUUGGUAGGGAAAGGGGAUGUGAUUGAGGACUAGCUUUUUCCAGCUUUCCAGUCCUUAGAGAAUUGACAGAGAGAGAAAACUAAAACUAAACAUAUGUGAAAAUAGAUGUUUUGUGUGCCAAAAUUGAGUCACACAAUUCUAACUUCAUGUGUAUCUAUAUUGUAUAGGAGACUCUGUGCAUUAGUGGAGGAAAAGAUGAACCCACAGAAUUGUUGUUGACUUGCUGAAUGGUUCUUUUUUCAUGUGUGGAGUUAUUGUCAACAUGUAUUUUUUCUGAGUUUGUUUUGGUUAAGUUCAUUUCUUCUCGAUUGAAAAAUUAGAAAAUGUCACAAUGACAAAUGUUCUCUUGUUCUGAAUCUAAAUAUACUGCGGAUC